CGGAANCGUUUCGGAUNUUGGGUUUAAGGGUGCGUAGGUGGGUUAAUAAGUCAGCGGUGAAAUCCAGAUGCUUAACAUCUGAACUGCCGUUGAAACUGUUAGUCUUGAGUGUGAACGAGGUAGGCGGAAUUCGUAGUGUAGCGGUGAAAUGCAUAGAUAUUACGAAGAACUCCGAUAGCGCAGGCAGCUUACCAGGCCACAACUGACACUGAAGCACGAAAGUGUGGGUAUCAAACAGGAUUAGAUACCCUGGUAGUCCACACAGUAAACGAUGAUUACUCGCUGUUUGCGAUAUACAGUAAGCGGCCAAGCGAAAGCGUUAAGUAAUCCACCUGGGGAGUACGCCGGCAACGGUGAAACUCAAAGGAAUUGACGGGGGCCCGCACAAGCGGAGGAACAUGUGGUUUAAUUCGAUGAUACGCGAGGAACCUUACCCGGGCUCGAACGGCUAUAGAAUACAGGUGAAAGCUUGUAGCCAGCAAUGGCUGUAGUCGAGGUGCUGCAUGGUUGUCGUCAGCUCGUGCCGUGAGGUGUCGGCUUAAGUGCCAUAACGAGCGCAACCCUUAUCGUUAGUUACCAUCAGGUCAUGCUGGGGACUCUAGCGAGACUGCCACCGUAAGGUGUGAGGAAGGUGGGGAUGACGUCAAAUCAGCACGGCCCUUACGUCCGGGGCGACACACGUGUUACAAUGGGGGGGACAAAGGGUCGCUACCUGGCAACAGGAUGCUAAUCUCUAAACCCUCUCCCAGUUCGGAUCGGAGUCUGCAACUCGACUCCGUGAAGCUGGAUUCGCUAGUAAUCGCGCAUCAGCCAUGGCGC
rnacentral:rRNA from 1 species